rnacentral:rRNA from 1 species
AUACGUAGGGUGCGAGCGUUGUCCGGAAUUACUGGGCGUAAAGAGCUCGUAGGUGGUUUGUCGCGUCGUCUGUGAAAUUCCGGGGCUUAACUCCGGGCGUGCAGGCGAUACGGGCAUAACUUGAGUACUGUAGGGGAGACUGGAAUUCCUGGUGUAGCGGUGAAAUGCGCAGAUAUCAGGAGGAACACCGGUGGCGAAGGCGGGUCGCUGGGCAGUAACUGACGCUGAGGAGCGAAAGCAUGGGUAGCGAACAGGAUUAGAUCCCCUGGUAGUCCAUGCCGUAAACGGUGGGCGCUAGGUGUAGGGGUCUUCCACGACUUCUGUGCCGUAGCUAACGCAUUAAGCGCCCCGCCUGGGGAGUACGGCCGCAAGGCUAAAACUCAAAGGAAUUGACGGGG